UUUAGUAGGGCGAAUAAGGUUACUGAUUUAAAGUAAAUAAGUGGUAAUCAUAAGUCUAUUUAAUAAAUAAUGAAUAUACUUGGCUCUGAUUUUAGGUAUGGCGUGCACUAAAAGAUACACAUGGUAUUUUUUGAAAGAGGUGAGGUGGAGGAUCAGUUAUUUAGAUGGCGAAACGUUAAGAAUGAUAUGGUCCUCUUGGAUGUUAUAGUGAACAUGAUGUCCUGAAAUUCCCACUAACACCAGUGUUGGAGAUUAAGAAAAAAGCGAAAGCUUGUAUUAGUUUAGUGAGAAAAAUUUGGUUAAUUUGGUGCCAGCAUCCGCGGUUAAACCAAGAAAUUUAGUCAUUCUUUUAUGGUAAAAAGACAGUUAGGCAGGGUAUAGUUAAAAUCGUUGGACCUUUAGUAGAGGAGUAAAAUCUAAAUACUAAAAGUUAUACCGGGGAUGAUUUAUUUGAGAUGCUGAGUCUGUGACAGCUUUAAGGGAAACUGGGAUUGGAUACCCCAUUAUUUUUAGUUAUAAAUUAGUUUAAGCUUACCAGAGUACUACGAAUAAAAAGUUUAAAACUCAAAGAGCUUGGCGGUGUUUUAGACCUCUCAGGGGAACCUGUCUCAUAAUCGACAAUCCACGUUAAACCUAACCUUUUAUAGUAGUUCAGCUUGUAUACCGUCGUCGUCAGGUAACUUCUUAAAAUAUAGUAGUUAGCUCGAGAAUUGGAUUAAUUAGAACGUCAGAUCAAGGUGCAGCUAAUGAGAAGGUGAGGAUGGGUUACAAUUACAUAUUUGUAAAUACGGAAAACACUUGAAAUGAAGUGUCUUAAAGGAGGACUUGAAAGUAAUUUUGAUUAUAUAAAUGGAAUGAAUGCGGCUCUGAAACGUGCACACAUCGCCCGUCGCUCUCGUUGAAAAAUGAGAUAAGUCGUAACAUAGUAGGGGUAAUGGAAAUUGUUCCUAGGCUG
rnacentral:rRNA from 1 species